GUCCAGCGCGUUAGAUCUGACGGUCUACACUUCGCCCGCCUCAUGAAGGGUACUUUUGUAAUUUGCACCGUUGAAUGAUUACCCCCUCUCUUCUUCUACUUUCUAACUCUCUCUCUUCUUCUUCUUCUUACUUUCUCUCUCCUCCUGCAAAUUAUCUCUUCUCACGGUUUCUCUGAUCUCUUCGAAUGUCUUCAACUUUGCAAAUCUGUAUCUUCUUAUCUUCACUCUUUGUUCAAUCAAAUUUGUGGCCAGUUGUUGCCUUGCCAUGGCUUGUUACUGCAGCUCCUACUUCUGCCUUGCCAAGGCUGCUGUUGUAACUACUGCUCUUCCAUGGCUCUUCACUCCUGUUACAAGGUAGCCGUAGAGGCUUCCUAUACUGACCUUCCAGUUAGUUCCACUUCUGAGAGCGAAGCUGAGCACUCGGAGCAUAAGGGCCCCGCGGUGAUUAUUAACAUGCGCUUGCUGCUGCUCUACUACCUCUGCUCUACCUCCUACUUCUGCUCUACCGCUGCUACUGUAAAUGUUGGUCGGGAGUUCUUGAAGUUUAGCAAAAUGGGAAGUUGUUAUGAGCAUGGGUGCAGCUUUUGCACCAUGGAAGCAUGUGAGGAGCAGCAGAAGCAUGAGCAGAGCCAGCUCCCUGAGCAGCCAUUAGGUUUCCACAUUACGUUAGUGCAUUCAUAGCAAUAUCCUGAUUUCUCAAAAUCAAUCUCAAAAUUUUUUCCAAAAGUCUAGUUUUAUGUUUUUAUUCGAUUUCGUUCUUCUUUUUUUUUUUGUUUACUUUUGAUAUAGUUUUAUUUACUUUUAAUUUGAAAAUCUCUACAUCGAGCUCAAUAUAUUUGUUUCUUAUAAUUUGACUCAUCUUGUAAGGAUAUGAAAGUCAAAGACUUAGAGUUUUGUGCUACAACAAAGUUUCCUUAGUCAUUUAUCAUUUCAAGAUA